UCAGAUCUAAAGCACAUCAAAGUGCUUUAGAUCGAAACUUUUGUGGACUGCACGAUGGAGAUUAGAGCACCUUUGCUCAAUGACACCUUCACUUAAAGUUCAAGAUGGAUUUACUGGGUUUAUCAAGACACCCUCUCCCCUUUUUCUUUACUGCACUCCUUCUCUUUAAAGUUUAGCAUGUGCCUACUUUAAUCAGCCCAAACUAGGGGAUGUAGCCAUGUAGAAAGGAGACAUUAAUACUCUUUUCAACAGCUGUCAUUUGCAAUAAUUAGCCUCGCGGCUGCUAAGUGACUAUAACAGCUUUACAAUAUGGAUGCAGCCUGCUACGCCAGUCAAAGCAUGAUGUAUUACUGUACAUUAAACUUGUUUUUAUUCUCCUCCACACUCCAUAAAUGAUUAGAGGAAGGAAAGAGUGAGGAAGAAGGAGGGAGGCGGAUGAAGGAAGAAAAAGGGGCAGAAAAUGGCAGAUGGGAGGAGAAAGGGAGUGAAACUCUUAAAUGGGAGAAAGAAAUGGGAAAAUGAUGCAUGCAUGAAUCCCAUGUGCUUAGAUGUGCCAUACAAAAUGAAAGCUUUUUAUUACAGCUCUAUAAUGCCGGCCUUAUUAAUGGAUUCUUGAACACAAUACAUUAUAGGAGUAGAAUAAUAAAAAGUGCAGCUACAAUUGCAAAUAAGCACAGAAUUACAGUGUUACAUUUCCAGAGACAGAAAUAUGAUCAGAGCAUCACUAUGGUGAUACAUACUGUCAUCUGCAGUGCACUAAACAUAUUUUAUGUUUCAUUUAACUUAAUAAAUAAUGAAAGACCGAGCGCCAGCGUUUCCCCCUUCACACAUUUUUUUUUGUACUCUUCUCACAAGGCUUCUUCUUCUUUCAGCUACUCCUUUUAGAGGUCGCCACAGCCAAUCAUCUGCCUUCUUGUCCCACCUUGUCCCUAGUAAUCCAAUCUUCAAUUCUGCCCCCUCCAGGAGGAAGUCUGAUCUUUAAGAGGAGAGUGUAAAAAAGAUAAAUAAUUACUGCUCUCAGAGGACUGCAAGUGUGCCAAGCAUCCGUGAGGGAGAGAGAGUAAGAUGGAGACGCACUCUGACAGCGGCAAAGCUCAGCUAGCAAACACUGCAACAAACUGUCAGCUAGAAGGAGAGAUGGGGAAGAGCGCAACGAUGGACAGCAGACAUGUGGAUGCUGAAAAAUGAUUUUUUUUUUCUGCAUGUGUGGUUUAUUGUGCUGUCUGUGUGUAAAGGCAAUGUUCUCCAUCAGUUCCUGGGGGAAUCCUUUUUUUCCCCAACUGCCAAAUGUUCACCACCCAUUUACUAAUUUGGUCUGUUUUCUGUGUUGCGCUGGGCAGGUAGUGUACAGUGAGUUCAUCAGAGAAUUUCUGUUAAAAACAACUGCCAUCUGCAGCUUUAAACGAGGCUGAUUAGGGCUGGUGAGACUGAAGCAAAACAUAAAAAUAUAUUUAAAACAUAUUUAAUUAUCUGUUAUACAGAUAAUAUUGCAACACAAAAAUCACCAA